AGCCUCUGCCGAGAGUGGAGCUCCUGACCUGGGAUCUAGAGGCCAUCGCUACACCAUCGGUCUGUAAUAAGGAGUUCCAGUUUCAGGCUCAUAUCUAUUGAGUAUGGGAAGGAAGACUAACCGGCUUCUGCUUGCUACUCUGGAUCUCCCGUUGAAGACGUGUGGUGGAGAAUGCGUUCGGGAUUCUGACCAAACGAUUCAGAUACUUCCUCGGAACUUUGGAACUAGGACCAGACACAGUGCGAGGCAUAAUUGAGGAGAAGGAUUCCAGUCAUUUCAGGGAAUGAUGUAGACCAUGAGGACUAGGAACACAACCUGGUCCUUAGCAACUGGAGAGCUGCGGUCCAAUGGCAAGACAUGAACGCACCAUCAGAAGGAAAAUAACAGGGACACUCCAAACACAAAUCGUUUUAAGUGUACCUUAAAAGGUGCUUCAACUUCCCUGCUGGUGCUGUAUAGUGACAGGCCUUUUAUGAUGUUUCAUAAAACUUUAUUUAUGUGUAAUGAAAUCAAAAGACUGUAGUCUGAGAAAGCUUUUGUUAAGAUAGCACUAUAGUGGUAGAACAAUGCUAAAAACGAAUCAAUAUAAAACUAAAGUAAAAAAAACAAUAAAUAUCUUAUCUAAUUUCUGUUAUGGAAAAUUAUGUGGUUACUGUACUUUGUUAUGAAUACAUAAACUUUUGAUUUCCUGAUCUCAAUAUUUCUUUGUAUUUCUAUACAUUCCAUUAUAAAAAAUGAUAGCCAUCUAUCAUAAACAAGUA